GGCUGGACUGCGACACCAUGCCAAGAUGAUGAGCCCUGGGUAUUUACCCCAGACAGUGAUGCCACUUCACAAGGAAACAGAUGUUAAAGCCCUUCUCAGAGAAUUUUCCAAGAGUAAAGCUGGUGAUGGAUAGCCAAACAUUAAUCAGCGAAAAGGAGUUUGACCUAUAGAGCCAAGGAGAAGUUGGACAAAGAACGUGAAAAGGACAACAGGCAAAUCCAAUCCAGUGAAUGAGAGCUCAAUGAGAAUCUUCAAAGGACCACAGUAUGCUGUACAAUUUUUUUUAAAAACAUCUAGAAGGG
rnacentral:lncRNA from 1 species